CAGUAGCCACGGGAAUACGUAGGUGGCAAGCGUUGUCCGGAAUUAUUGGGCGUAGAGCGCGCGCAGGCGGUCAGAAAAGUCUGAAGUGAAAGGCAGUGGUUCAACCAUUGUAGGCUUUGGAAACUGUUUAACUUGAGUGCAAGAGGGGAGAGUGGAAUUCCAUGUGUAGCGGUGAAAUGCGUAGAUAUAUGGAGGAACACCGGUGGCGAAAGCGGCUCUCUGGCUUGUAACUGACGCUGAGGCUCGAAAGCGUGGGGAGCAAACAGGAUUAGAUACCCCGGUAGUCCCUGUCUCUUAUACA
rnacentral:rRNA from 1 species